rnacentral:rRNA from 1 species
AUGGUCAUGACUGCGUUCCUCACUGCCCAGCUCGUCGAUGGCGCUGGUAGCGGGCUGGCGUAUCUGACUUCUGCAGAGGCAACUCCGACCACAUUUGGUUCGUCCCUAUCUGUUUGGUUUUCAUCUGCUCGCGAGCCUAAAUUUGGGCUGGGUUUGCUUCGAAACGGACCGGGCGUAGAUGCGCAUGAUGCCCGCCCAUGCCCUUCCCUCGGUGGCACUUUUCCCCAUUUCCCUCUUACCACCCAACACCCUCUCGCCAUAGGCACCGUGCUAAACCCUGCCGCCAUUGCCACCGGCGUGGACACUCGCCCCAUGUGCUUGAAGAAGCUGAAGAAGGUGCUCAUGCUGGAGCAGACGGUCCAUGAAGAGGGCUGA